rnacentral:rRNA from 1 species
UACAGAGGUCCCAAGCGUUGUUCGGAUUCACUGGGCGUAAAGGGUGCGUAGGCGGUAGGGUAAGUCUGACGUGAAAUCUUCAAGCUCAACUUGGAAACUGCGUCGGAUACUAUUCGGCUAGAGGAAUGGAGGGGAGACUGGAAUACUUGGUGUAGCAGUGAAGUGCGUAGAUAUCAAGUGGAACACCAGUGGCGAAGGCGAGUCUCUGGACAUUUCCUGACGCUGAGGCACGAAAGCCAGGGGAGCAAACGGG